GCUCCAUUAGCUCAGAUGGGAGAGCACUUGACUUUUAAUCGAGUGGUCAUGGGUCCGAGGUCCAUAUGGAGCA
rnacentral:tRNA from 2 species